AACAAAUAUUUCAGUGAAAGAUGAAGUUUUUCGGCAAAUUAUUCUAUUUCUUUCUCAUAGGCAUCAUGGCGACAAUGGGCAUGAAUAUAAAAAAAUCUGUUUUUGAGAUGAAGAAAGUAGCUUGUGGAAAUCGGACGCCUAAUAUCACUGGUUCCGCAUAGAUGACAAUCUGUAUAAAAUGCAAAUAACACUAAACAAUAUUAUAUUACAAUGAUCUAGACCACGGAUGGAUCUAAAAAAAUUAUGGACACCUUGAAAGAAACUGAAAAAUAUAUUAUCUCCAUAACUAUUAUUCUUUGUGAUUACUAACAGAUUCUUUGUAUGUUUGAUAAAAUUAAAAAAAUCUUUAAUAUAUAUAUAUAUAUGUACAUGAAUAAACAAAAUUAAGAAAAUCUA